rnacentral:rRNA from 1 species
AGAACGAACGCUGGCGGCAUGCCUAAUACAUGCAAGUCGAACGAACACUUCGGUGUUAGCGGCGCACGGGUGCGUAACGCGUGGGAAUCUGCCCUUGGGUUCGGAAUAACAGUUGGAAACGACUGCUAAUACCGGAUGAUAUCGAAAGAUCAAAGAUUUAUCGCCCAGGGAUGAGCCCGCGUAGGAUUAGCUAGUUGGUGAGGUAAAGGCUCACCAAGGCGACGAUCCUUAGCUGGUCUGAGAGGAUGAUCAGCCACACUGGGACUGAGACACGGCCCAGACUCCUACGGGAGGCAGCAGUAGGGAAUAUUGGACAAUGGGCGCAAGCCUGAUCCAGCAAUGCCGCGUGAGUGAUGAAGGCCGUUAGGGUUGUAAAGCUCUUUUACCCGAGAUGAUAAUGACAGUAUCGGAGAAUAAGCCCCGGACUAACUCCGUGCCAGCAGCCGAC